rnacentral:rRNA from 1 species
CCCUUAGAUGUUCUGGGCCACACGCGCGCUACACUGACGAAUGCAACGAGCUUAUAACCUUGGCCGAAAGGUCUGGGUAAUCUCCAAAUUUCGUCGUGAUGGGGAUAGAUUAUUGCAAUUAUUAAUCUUCAACGAGGAAUGCCUAGUAAGCGCAAGUCAUCAGCUUGCGUUGAUUACGUCCCUGCCCUUUGUACACACCGCCCGUCGCUCCUACCGAUUGAAUGGUCCGGUGAAGCGUUCGGACCGUGGCCUUUGGACGGUUCGCCGUCUGUUGGCUGCGGGAAGUUCGUUAAACCUUAUCAUUUAGAGGAAGGAGAANUCGUANCA